AUGGAGCAGCUCUUUUUUCUUCUCAUUCACGUAUUUGCUUCUUCAUACUUAAUCUCAGCAGGAAAUGACACGAGCAUACAAACUACGUUACCUCCAAACACAAAUGCUACUUCUCCAUGUUCUGCUGAUUCAAGAACAGAAGUCCAAACUGAAAAAACAACAAAUUCUACUUUUUCAUCUCAAUAUGAGAAUAACAUGACCAGCCACACAUCAAAAACUGUGAGCACAACCACAGCUCCUGUAUCUUCUAGCCACACAGUGGGUGUUUCUGUACUUGCAAACACUUCAACAACAGCUAAUUCAAACAUCAGCAUGUCAGAGGGGACGCCAACACCUUCACAGGCACCAGACAGCAGCCUCACUUCGCUCGCCUUUGGUAGGUUUUAUACUGAUAAAAUCUCAUGAUACACAUUAUUUCUGGUGCUAAAAUAUUUCCUGUCUGCAAUUACAGGUGUGAUGAGUCUUAUACUCAUUUUAAUUGUUGUCAUGGUGGUCUUGGUGACUGCUAUCAACCUCAGGGGACGGUGUAGAGACAUCAAACAACACAAGAGUGGGUUUCUCUCUAAUUCUGUCAGUUUCAAGAUUACUGCAAUAUAGUAAUUAAUGUUUUUUUUUUAUAAUAAUAAAGGUAUUAAAAGCUGUGAUUCUGUGGUGUCUGACAGGUGAGGAUUUGACUGUGCAUGUGUGGUUAUCAUCAUUGUCUGUUUUACAUAUAAAAUAAAUAAUAUAAUAUAAU
rnacentral:lncRNA from 1 species